UAAAAGGAUCAGCAUGUCGGUUGACAGCAGCAUAGUUCUGCAGUUCCGACUUCAAGUGCUCAAUCUUUCUCCCAGCCAAUGAAUUGCUAAAGAUUCGUUGAAGCUUUUCAACGUUGAUUUACAGUUUGUUGUCCUGUGGAUCCAGAAAGAAACAUCUUGUGAACCGUUCCGUCUCUGGCGAGAGGGUAGUGAAGAACUACUUGUCAGCAUUGCUUUUUGCGGUGCCGUGGACAGCUCGCCAACCCCCUCUAAACAUAUAUUUAUUUUUUUAUGCCUGACAUUUAUUGUAUAAAUAUACAAAA
rnacentral:misc_RNA from 1 species